CUUUCCCGUAGAGGUGUUGUAGGUGUGGCUGCUGUGUCACAUGUACAUCAGUAUGUGGCAGAGAGGAGAGAGGCUAUGGCUAUGCUUAGUGUUCGGACCUAUGAAAAUCUGAAUGAUUGGUCGCCUAACAUU
ensembl:snoRNA Gm22469 small nucleolar RNA SNORA17